rnacentral:tRNA from 1 species
UCCCUGGUGGUCCAGCGGCUAAGAUUCUGCGCUCCGAGUGCAGGGGGGCUGGGUUCAAUUCCUGGUCAGGGAA